rnacentral:rRNA from 1 species
UACGGAGGGUGCGAGCGUUGUUCGGAAUCACUGGGCGUAAAGGGCGCGUAGGCGGUCUUGCAAGUCCUGUGUGAAAUCCCUCGGCUCAACUGAGGAACUGCACAGGAAACUGCUUGGCUUGAGUUCGGGAGAGGGAAGCGGAAUUCCGGGUGUAGCGGUGAAAUGCGUAGAUAUCCGGAGGAACACCGGUGGCGAAGGCGGCUUCCUGGACCGACACUGACGCUGAGGCGCGAAAGCUAGGGGAGCAAACAGG